UUUUUUUUUUUUUUUUUUGGAGACAGAAUUUUGCUCUUGUUGCCCAGGCUGGAGUGCAAUGGCGCGAUCUUGCUCACUGCAAACUCUGCCUCCUGGGUUCAAGCGAUUCUCCUGCCUCGGUCUCCCAAGUAGCUGGGAUUACAGGCAUGCACCAUCAUGCCCAACUAAUUUUGUAUUUUUAGUAGAGACGGGGUUUCACCAUGUUGAUCCCAAGUUCUAUAGGUACGGUUGGGAUAUAAUUAUUUUGAAAUGUUAUGAGUGUUUCAAAAGUUUACUCUGACCUGGGAAUUUUGUGAAGUGUCAAUGUGGCAGGCAGCCUGAAAGAUGGUCCCCAGUGAUCUCUGGCUCCUGGUAUUCUCAGCCUUGUGGAAUCCCCAUCCCUGGAGUGCCUUGUGUCUAUAUAAAAUAUUGACAACAUUGAAAGGAUGUCAUUUCUAUGAGUAGGUUACGUAAGACAGUGACUUCUAUCUUGUGAGCAGAAACACUUCCUGGCUGCCUUUGAUAAAGCAAGCCACCAUUCGGGAGAGGACCAUGUGGUCAGGAACCAGGGAUGGCCUUGGGCCAACUGUCCCCAUAGCCCUGAAGGAAGCAAGGAGCUGAGGAAGUCAGGUGGCCCAGCAACCCUAAAGGAACCAAAUCCUGCCAACAAACACCUGAGCUUGGGGGCAAACCCAGAUGGGCCUUCAGAUGAGACCCUAGCCCAGGCUGACAUCUUGACUGCAGCUCUGUGAUAGACCCGGAAGUUAGUCCUGGCUCAUCUGUGCCUGGAUUUCUCUCCCUCAGAAACCAUGAGAUAAUAAAUGUGUGUGGUUUUUAAGUUGCUAACUGUAUCUUAGCACUGCAUUAUAAAGCAGUAGGUAAUUAAUACAGUAGAUUUUACUUAGUCACUAAUUAUUACAAAAUAUAUUUCUGGAUACAUUUUAUCAUUUCAAAGAUAAUAGAUGGACAAAAUAAUUAAACUGGAUAUGCUUUCACUCUAUGUCACAUUGUGUCAAAAUAAGUCAUCUCCUUAGAGAAUUAUUUGUAAACUAACAGAUCAUAUAAGGGCAGGCAUUAAGAAGCCUCUGUGGUCUAAAAUGUGACUCCUCUGAUUAAAGACCUUCUGGAGUUCUGCAUGAAAUACAUACUCUUUGCUGUGACAUUCAUAAUGUGACUCCAAACCACCUUCCCAAGAUUCUUCCCCAUCACACCACUCCUUGUUGGUACCUUAUGCCCAAGGGGUGGUUCCUGACCACCCUUUCCACACUGCAGCCUGCCCUCCCCAUCUGUCUUUUCUCCUGCUGCCCUUCUGGUGCUCUCCCUGCUUUACUCUACCUCAUGUCUGCUGUGGAAAGCCUGUCUCCUCAAGACCACCCCUUCGUGAGAUUUCUUACAGGUCCCACAUCCACCUCUAAGCCAGGUACUCUGCCUCUUCCCCUUACACUGCAACACCACUUUUGGCCUUGCUUAGGGUAUUUGCAUGCUCUUCCCCUCAUCCUGAUUUGCUCUCUGACUCUUCUCUGAUUCAGCCUCUUCUGAUUUCCCAUGUGAGACCAAAAGCUACAUGAGGGCAGAAACUGUCCCUCAUUCUUGGUGGCCCUUCCUACAACCUAGAACAUCUCCUUGGGCAUAGUGAAGAGAUGGUCACACGGUGUUUGCAGAAUUGAAUUUCAUGAAGGGCAGAUUGUGAUGUGGUGCAGCAUUACCUAGAUGGUGUUAACAGAAUUUCUGUGUUAACAGAGAUUCUAUGGCCAAAGUAGUGUGAGAAACCAAGUGCGCUCUGUCCCGUUGCUAUAGUUUGGAUAAUUGUCCCCAGCAAAUCUUAUUGUGAAAUUUGAUCCAAAUGUUGGAGGUGGAACCUAAUGGGAGGUGUUUGGGUCAUGGCAGUGGAUCCCUCCUGAAUAGAUUAAUGGCCUCCCUCAGGGGUGAGUGAGUUCUCACUCUGUUAGUUCCCAAGAGAGCUGGUGUUUAGAAAGAGCCUGGCACCUCCCCUCUCUCUUCUGCUUCCUCUCUCACCACAUGUUCUCUUUGCACACAGGCUCCCCUUCACUUUCUUUUUUUCUUUCUUUUUUUCUUUUUAAACAGACGGGGUUUCACUUUGUUGCCCAGGCUGGUCUCAAAUUCCUGGGCUCAAGUAAUUCACCCACCGUGGCCUCCCAAAGUGCUGGGAUUACAGGAGCGAGCCACCGUGCCUGUCCCCCUUUGCUUUCCAUCAUGAGUAGAAGCAGUCUGAAGUCCUCACCAGAUGCAUAUGCCAGUGCCAUGCUUCCUGUACAGCCUGCAGAACUGCAGAGGCAAAUAACUCCUUUUCAUUAUAAAUCACCCAGCCUCAGGUAUUUCUUUAUAGCAACACAAAAUGGACUAAGACACCCUCCAUGAAGAGCCGCCCUGGGCAUUAGAUGACUAAAGUCUCUAAGAAGCUCUGCAGUAAAGAAACAGGCAGAGCCCAACAUUCCACUCUGGCUUUCUGUAAUGCUGUGAUUUGGGCAGAAGGUGUGGAAGCUGCCUACUUACCUCUCUACAGGAUCUCUGCCCAUGUAGAGCUCACCUGAGAGCGGAUGCUGUAUGUUUUGUUUUGUUCUUUUCUCUCAAUAAGGCUGUGAGUUUAUCACACUUUGUAGUCUAUACUCAUUUCCCUUGUUUAGUCACAGGUGAUUCCAGGGCGAUUUCAAUUGAUGAUGCUUCGAACGGAUACUCAACUCCUAAAAAUACACAAAUCCCGCUGUUAGGAACUAAGCCACUUCUAUUGCAUUUAGAACCGUAUUUAAUAACUAGUUUGACAUGGUGACUCCUGUCCUCAAGGGACUUUUUGCUCAAGAGUGCAGUGACUAAAGAUUUCAGAUAUUAGACACCCACUUUUUCACCAGUCUUUGCCAGAUUUAAUUCUAUUUAAUGGAUGUUGAAUAAGCCUUUCCCAUGUGUCAGGCACUAUGCUAGAUGCUUAGGGUACAAAACGUAAUAAUAAACUGUUCCUGCCCUAAAGAAUGUCUAUUCUGACUGAGAGCAUAACAUAUUAUUUUAAUAUAAUUCUGCGAGUGCUGAAACUCUGUUAUCACCUGCACAUAAGCAGGAGAUGGGGAGGCACCAGUUGAAGGCGCUUAACUGAGAGGAAAGGGGGAACCUGGGAUGAGAGUUAGUUGAAAGAUGCAGAAAAGUUACCCUGAGAAUAAAGGUAGCAGAAAGAAAAUCUAAUUUAACUUUUUUUUUUUUUAAUAUACUAUCUGCCAGCAACUCUCUGCAAGGUCCUAAGAGUUCUAAGUUGAAUAAGGCCCACUCCCUCCCUUCCAGGACUUUAGCUGAGGUUGGUUGGGGCAGAAGUCGGGCAAGACUCAUCGGAACGGAUUAACAGAGACAGAAUCCAGAGGCAACGGGAUGAAUUCCAAGUAUAGGUGAGGACCUGAGGCACAGACGCUAACCAGCUUGCUGGAGAUCACACACUCAUGAGUGGCAGAGUGGGGCUCGGAACCGGGCAGCCUGCCUCUGGAGCCCUCACUCCAUCUGCACACCAUGCUGGGACCCAGUCGAGUGACCAGCAGACCGGUUGUGUGGGUUAGGUGGAAUGGUGGAUAUAAACCACACAGCCCAGCUCCUGGCCCGUGCUGGGCCCUCAGUGUAUGUUUAAGCUCAGGCUGGAAAAGGAUCACUGAAAGUCACUUGGAUGGUGUUUCGUGUGUCUGUGAUGAGCUUGCUGUUGCUUUCUUUCUUC